rnacentral:rRNA from 1 species
GGUUAAGUUAUGAAGGGCGCAUGGUGGAUGCCUUGGUACUAGGAGCCGAUGAAGGACGGGACUAACACCGAUAUGCUUCGGGGAGCUGUACGUAAGCUUUGAUCCGGAGAUUUCCGAAUGGGGAAACCCAAUCAUCUUUACCGAUGAUUACAACUUGAUGAAUACAUAGUCAAGUUGAGGCAGACGUGGGGAACUGAAACAUCUAAGUACCCACAGGAAGAGAAAGAAAAAUCGAUUCCCUAAGUAGCGGCGAGCGAACGGGGAACAGCCCAAACCAGGAAGCUUGCUUUCUGGGGUUGUAGGACUGAACAUUUGAGUUGCCAAAGUUGAUGAUAACCGAAGAGUCUGGGAAGGCUCGGCAUAGAGGGUGAUACCCCCGUAGGUGAAAUCGUCAACCCUCAGUUCAGGAUCCUGAGUACGGCCACACACGUGAAACGUGGUCGGAAUCCGGGAGGACCAUCUCCCAAGGCUAAAUACUCCCUAGUGACCGAUAGUGAACCAGUACCGUGAGGGAAAGGUGAAAAGCACCGCGGAAGCGGAGUGAAAUAGUUCCUGAAACCAUGUGCCUACAAUUAGUUAGAGCCCGUUAAUGGGUGAUAGCGUGCCUUUUGUAGAAUGAACCGGCGAGUUACGUUAAUUUGCAAGGUUAAGGUGGAAAGACCGGAGCCGUAGCGAAAGCGAGUCUGAAACGGGCGUUUCAGUAAAUUGAUGUAGACCCGAAACCAGGUGACCUACCCAUGUCCAGGUUGAAGGUGCGGUAAAACGCACUGGAGGACCGAACCCGUGUAUGUUGAAAAAUGCUGGGAUGAGGUGUGGGUAGCGGUGAAAUUCCAAACGAACUUGGAGAUAGCUGGUUCUCUCCGAAAUAGCUUUAGGGUUAGCCUCGGAGUUAAGAAUCGUGGAGGUAGAGCCACUGUUUGGACUAGGGGCCCGUCAUGGGUUACUGAAUUCAGAUAAACUCCGAAUGCCACAGAUUUAUAUCCGGGAGUCAGACGAUGAGUGAUAAGAUCCACCGUCGAAAGGGGAACAGCCCAGACCACCAAUUAAGGUCCCUAAAUACAUGCUGAGUGGAAAAGGAUGUGGAGUUGCAUAGACAGCUAGGAUGUUGGCUCAGAAGCAGCCACCAUUUAAAGAGUGCGUAAUAGCUCACUAGCCGAGUGAUUCUGCGCCGAAAAUUUACCGGGGCUAAGCAUGUUACCGAAAUUGUGGAUUCGACCGUAAGGUCGAGUGAUAGGAGAGCGUUCUAAGGGCAACGAAGCAAGAUCGCAAGGACUUGUGGAGCGCUUAGAAGUGAGAAUGCCGGUAUGAGUAGCGAAAGAUCAGUGAGAAUCUGAUCCACCGAAUGACUAAGGUUUCCUGGGGAAGGCUCGUCCUCCCAGGGUUAGUCGGGACCUAAGCCGAGGCCGCAAGGCGUAGGCGAUGGAUAACAGGUUGAUAUUCCUGUACUAGUUAAUCAUGUUUGAACGAUGGAGGGACGCAGGAGGCUAUGGUGUGCACACGAUUGGAAAUGUGUGUUCAAGCGUCAAGUCUGGUGAUGAGUCAAAUGCUUAUCGCUAAGGACAAGGCGUGACGAGGACCGAAUUUUAGUAGGGAAGCGCCAGAUGUCACACUGCCGAGAAAAGCUUCUAGUUAGUGAUUAAUUACCCGUACCGCAAACCGACACAGGUAGUCGAGGAGAGUAUCCUAAGGUGAGCGAGUGAACUCUCGUUAAGGAACUCGGCAAAAUGACCCCGUAACUUCGGGAGAAGGGGUGCUGCACGCAAGUGUAGCCGCAGUGAAAAGGCCCAGGCGACUGUUUAUCAAAAACACAGGUUUCUGCAAAAUCGAAAGAUGACGUAUAGGGGCUGACGCCUGCCCGGUGCUGGAAGGUUAAGUGGAUGAGUUAGCUUCGGCGAAGCCCAGAAAUGAAGCCCCAGUAAACGGCGGCCGUAACUAUAACGGUCCUAAGGUAGCGAAAUUCCUUGUCGGGUAAGUU